rnacentral:rRNA from 1 species
GUGCCAGCAGCUGCGGUAAUACGGAGGGUGCAAGCGUUAAUCGGAAUUACUGGGCGUAAAGCGCACGCAGGCGGUUUGUUAAGUCAGAUGUGAAAUCCCCGGGCUCAACCUGGGAACUGCAUUUGAAACUGGCAAGCUAGAGUCUCGUAGAGGGGGUAGAAUUCCAGGUGUAGCGGUGAAAUGCGUAGAGAUCUGGAGGAAUACCGGUGGCGAAGGCGGCCCCCUGGACGAAGACUGACGCUCAGGUGCGAAAGCGUGGGGAGCAAACAGGAUUAGAUACCCUGGUAGUCCACGCUGUAACGAUGUCGAUUUGAGUUGUGCCCUUGAGCGUGGCUUCCGGAGCUAACGCGUUAAAUCGACCGCCUGGGGAGUACGGCCGCAAGGUUAAAACUCAAAUGAAUUGACGGGGGCCCGCACAAGCGGUGGAGCAUGUGGUUUAAUUCGAUGCAACGCGAAGAACCUUACCUACUCUUGACAUCCAGAGAACUUAGCAGAGAUGCUUUGGUGCCGUU